rnacentral:rRNA from 2 species
GGGUUGUGAGGUUAAGCGACUAAGCGUACACGGUGGAUGCCCUGGCAGUCAGAGGCGAUGAAGGACGUGCUAAUCUGCGAUAAGCGUCGGUAAGGUGAUAUGAACCGUUAUAACCGGCGAUUUCCGAAUGGGGAAACCCAGUGUGUUUCGACACACUAUCAUUAACUGAAUCCAUAGGUUAAUGAGGCG